UUCGGGAACUGUGAGACAGGUGCUGCAUGGCUGUCGUCAGCUCGUGUUGUGAAAUGUUGGGUUAAGUCCCGCAACGAGCGCAACCCUUAUCCUUUGUUGCCAGCGGUCCGGCCGGGAACUCAAAGGAGACUGCCAGUGAUAAACUGGAGGAAGGUGGGGAUGACGUCAAGUCAUCAUGGCCCUUACGACCAGGGCUACACACGUGCUACAAUGGCGCAUACAAAGAGAAGCGACCUCGCGAGAGCAAGCGGACCUCAUAAAGUGCGUCGUAGUCCGGAUUGGAGUCUGCAACUCGACUCCAUGAAGUCGGAAUCGCUAGUAAUCGUGGAUCAGAAUGCCACGGUGAAUACGUUCCCGGGCCUUGUACACACCGCCCGUCACACCAUGGGAGUGGGUUGCAAAAGAAGUAGGUAGCUUAACCUUCGGGAGGGCGCUUACCACUUUGUGAUUCAUGACUGGGGUGAAGUCGUAACAAGGUAACCGUAGGGGAACCUGCGGUUGGA
rnacentral:rRNA from 3 species